ensembl:lncRNA
AAGAUAUGUAUACCUAUGGCUGAUUCAUGUUGAUGUAUGGCAGAAACCAACACAACAUUGUACAGAAAUUAUCUUCCAAUUAAAAAUAAAUUCUUUUAAUAUGUAGGCAUUUAAAUAAAUUAUUUUGCAUUACAUCUUUUUAGUGGUUACUUUGGCUAAAUAAAAAUCUUAAGUAUGCUAAAUAUUGAAAACCACUUGAAUAGCCAAGAAUUAUGAAAACAACAUUGCGUAAAUUCAAAGAUACAUUGUAAAUCCAUGGUAUGUGGACACUUCUGAAAAUGCUUUACUGUUGAGUUUAUUUUUGAGUAUUUUUAUCUACCUCAUUGAAUAAAAUGUUUUUUCCUGACUUUGAAAAAAAAAUAAAAUAAAAAAAAAUAAAAAAUUAUGAUGGAUAUUUGGAGAAGGAAAUGGCAACCCACUCCAGUACUCUUGCCUAGAAAAUUCCAUGGAUGGAGGAGCCUGGUGGGCUCCAGUCUAUCGAGUCACACACACACACAAAUUAUGAUGGAUUUAUAGUGAUAACCAUUCUCAGUGUGAAAAUCAAGUAUAUUCCUGAUAGUGGAUUUCCAUUUUGGCCAGGAAUUGAUAAGGAUUGAAACUUAUCACAAUUUCACAUUAGUCUGAUUACUGGAAGAAUUUUACAUAGCUUCUGGUUGUGUGCACUUCAAAUCUUGUUUUUCUUCCAUUAUCCACCUACUUCUGGUGUUGAGCAUCACAGAACUCAUUCAUUCAUUUCAUUCUAAGAUUGCCAGCCUUUGUUUUUGUUUCAGGGUAGGUCAGUACCAAGGCUGUAGGAAUAUUCUUGGAAGCCAUUCCUACACUGAAGUGGUUAGCAAUAGCCACAGAAAUGACUGCAUACUAUAUAAAUCUAUCUCACUAAACUUUGGCCACCUCAUGCGAAGAGUUGACUCAUUGGAAAAGACUCUGAUGCUGGGAGGGAUUGAGGGCAGGAGGAGAAGGGGACGACAGAGGAUGAGAUGGCUUGAUUGCAUCACCAACUCAAUGGACGUGAGUUUGAGUGAACUCUGGGGGUUGCUGAUGGACAGGGAGGCCUGGCAUGCUGCGAUUCAUGGGGUCGCAAAGAGUCAGACACGACUGAGCGACUGAACUGAAACCAAAGUUAAACACGUCCCAACUCAGCUUCCUGGAUUGCCCAGAUUCCCACAGUCACUCUAGAGCUACGUGCUUAGAGAGGAAGUGUAUCUGAGUGGAAGACAGAUUGAAGCUAACUGACAUGACAGUAUCUUCCUUUUUUGACUGUACAGCUUGUGGGAUCUUAGUUCCCUAAACGAGGAUUGAACCCUUGCUGCCUAAAAUGGAAGUGAUGAGUCCAAAUCUCUGAACCACCAAGGAAUUACUUAAGAUGUUCUACAGUCUGAGGAUCGGGUUGUCAGGACUACAUUGUUAGGACCCUACCCAGAGCCUUGAGAGGGGUCAUAAACAAGCUGCAUUAGCUUUGUGGUUUAUCUGCCUCUGUACCUUUAU